AUAAGAGCAACAACGGAAUAAAACCGUUGGUUUCACGCGGUCAAAGUCUUGGGAGGAUGGAUCCAGGCGCGACUUUCGCAGCCGCCAGUCAAAUGGAAACGGAUCGAACGCGUAUUUGAUUAGCAAGGCGAAAGCCUUGCUUUUUUUU
rfam:Ochrobactrum intermedium 229E Contig47, whole genome shotgun sequence.